rnacentral:rRNA from 1 species
UACGUAGGGGGCAAGCGUUGUCCGGAAUCAUUGGGCGUAAAGAGCGUGUAGGCGGUUCAGUAAGUCUGCUGUGAAAGUCCAGGGCUCAACCCUGGGAUGCCGGUGGAUACUGUUGGGCUAGAGUACGGAAGAGGCGAGUGGAAUUCCCGGUGUAGCGGUGAAAUGCGCAGAUAUCGGGAGGAACACCUAUUGCGAAGGCAGCUCGCUGGGACGUUACUGACGCUGAGACGCGAAAGCGUGGGGAGCAAACAGG